AGUGAUAUUGAAAUAUUGAUAUGGAAUAAGAACAAGUUUAUGGUGAUAAUUCAAGUUGGGUCGUCCAGAAUGUAUAAGACGUUUUACAAGUGCAUAGUCUAAAAAGUAUUUUCUAAAAGUUUCGAGGGACUAAAGACGUAGUCUACAACAAAAUGGUUAACGUCAAGUUAUUUCUAUUGUUAAUUUUGGUAGUCACUUUGAUUGCUGCCAAAGCGUACGCUUGCCUUAAAGCCGGUAGUAAUUGCACUAAUGAAGACGAAUGUUGCGGCGACAUAUGUGCGGAAUAUGAGGACGGAACUCGUGAGUGUGUGGAAUUGCAUGAUUAGUCAUAAACAAAGUUGUUUUCAUAUAAAAAAAAUAAGUUUUAAUUGUUUCAAGGUUAUAAAAAUUAUAAACAUCAAAUAUUUUGUUAUUAAAUCAAUUAUUUACUAAAAAAAUGUUUUAAGAAAUUCACUCCUUACUUUUUUUUAAUCAUAAAUUAUAUAAAUUAUAUAAUAAAAUUUUCUGUCUGAUUCAAAAU